rnacentral:rRNA from 1 species
GACGAACGCUGGCGGCGUGCUUAACACAUGCAAGUCGAGCGGAAAGGCCCUUCGGGGUACUCGAGCGGCGAACGGGUGAGUAACACGUGAGUAAUCUGCCCUGUGCUUCGGGAUAGCCACCGGAAACGGUGAUUAAUACCGGAUAUGACCACUUCCUGCAUGGGAUGGUGGUGGAAAGUUUUUCGGCGCAGGAUGUGCUCGCGGCCUAUCAGCUUGUUGGUGGGGUAAUGGCCUACCAAGGCUUCGACGGGUAGCCGGCCUGAGAGGGUGACCGGUCACACUGGGACUGAGACACGGCCCAGACUCCUACGGGAGGCAGCAGUGGGGAAUAUUGGACAAUGGGCGGAAGCCUGAUCCAGCAACGCCGCGUGAGGGAUGACGGCCUUCGGGUUGUAAACCUCUUUCGCCUGUGACGAAGCGCAAGUGACGGUAACAGGUAAGGAAGCACCGGCCAACUACGUGCCAGCCGCCGCAGUAACAC